rnacentral:rRNA from 1 species
UGGGGAAUUUUGGACAAUGGGCGAAAGCCUGAUCCAGCAAUGCCGCGUGUGUGAAGAAGGCCUUCGGGUUGUAAAGCACUUUUGUCCGGAAAGAAAUCCUUGGCUCUAAUACAGUCGGGGGAUGACGGUACCGGAAGAAUAAGCACCGGCUAACUACGUGCCAGCAGCCGCGGUAAUACGUAGGGUGCAAGCGUUAAUCGGAAUUACUGGGCGUAAAGCGUGCGCAGGCGGUUUGCUAAGACCGAUGUGAAAUCCCCGGGCUCAACCUGGGAACUGCAUUGGUGACUGGCAGGCUAGAGUAUGGCAGGAGGGGGGUAGAAUUCCACGUGUAGCAGUGAAAUGCGUAGAGAUGUGGAGGAAUACCGAUGGCCGAAGGCAGCCCCCUGGGCCAAUACUGACGCUCAUGCACGAAAGCGUGGGGGAGCAAACAGGAUUAGAUACCCUGGUAGUCCACGCCCUAAACGAUGUCAACUAGUUGUUGGGGAUUC